GAUGAACGCUGGCGGCGUGCCUAAUACAUGCAAGUCGAACGAAACUUCUUUAUCACCGAGUGCUUGCACUCACCGAUAAAGAGGUGAGUGGCGAACGGGUGAGUAACACGUGGGCAACCUGCCCAAAAGAGGGGGAUAACACUUGGAAACAGGUGCUAAUACCGCAUAACCAUAGUUACCGCAUGGUAACUAUGUAGAAGGUGGCUAUACUACCGUUUUUGGAUGGGCCCGCGGCGAAUUAGCUAGUUGGUAGGGUAAAGGCUUACCAAGGCAAUGAUGCGUAGCCGAACUGAGAGGAUGAUCGGCCACAUUGGAACUGAGACACGGCCCAAACUCCUACGGGAGGCAGCAGUAGGGAAUCUUCCACAAUGGGCGAAAGCCUGAUGGAGCAACGCCGCGUGGGUGAAGAAGGUCUUCGGAUCGUAAAACCCUGUUGUUAGAGAAGAAAGUGAGUGAGAGUAACUGUUCACGUUUCGACGGUAUCUAAACAGAAAGCCACGGCUAACUACGUG
rnacentral:rRNA from 1 species